rnacentral:tRNA from 1 species
AAGAAAGUAUGCAAGAACUGCUAACUCUAUGCCACCAUGCAUAAAAACAUGGCUUUCUUA